rnacentral:rRNA from 1 species
CCUACGGGGGGCAGCAGUGAGGAAUAUUGGUCAAUGGCCGGAAGGCUGAACCAGCCAUGCCGCGUGAAGGUCAGUGCCCUAUGGGCGUUAAACUUCUUUUGUGCGGGAGCAAUAAUGGUCACGUGUGGCCAGACGAGAGUACCGUACGAAUAAGCAUCGGCUAACUCCGUGCCAGCAGCCGCGGUAAUACGGGGGAUGCAAGCGUUAUCCGGAGUUAUUGGGUUUAAAGGGUGCGUAGGCUGGGAGGUAAGUCAGCGGUGAAAUGCCCCCGGUCAACGGGGUGAAGUGCCAUUGAUACUGCCUGGCUGGAAUGCGGAUGCCGUGGGAGGAAUGUGUGGUGUAGCGGUGAAAUGCAUAGAUAUCACACAGAACACCGAUUGCGAAGGCAUCUCACGAAUCCGCGAUUGACGCUGAUGCACGAAAGCGUGGGUAUCAAACAGGAUUAGAUACCCGAGUAGUC